UACGAAGGUCCCAAGCGUUGUUCGGAAUCACUGGGCGUAAAGGGAGCGUAGGCGGCGUGGUAAGUCAGAUGUGAAAUCCCGGGGCUCAACCCCGGAACUGCAUCCGAUACUGCCAUGCUAGAGGAUUGGAGAGGUAGCUGGAAUUCUUGGUGUAGCAGUGAAAUGCGUAGAGAUCAAGAGGAACACUCGUGGCGAAAGCGAGCUACUGGACAAUUCCUGACGCUGAGGCUCGAAAGCGUGGGGAUCAAGCAGG
rnacentral:rRNA from 1 species